CGGAAGAGAUAAGUGCUGAAAGCAUCUAAGCACGAAACUUGCCCCGAGAUGAGUUCUCCCUGAGACUAUAAGUCUCCUGAAGGAACGUUGAAGACGACGACGUUGAUAGGCCGGGUGUGUAAGCGCAGCGAUGCGUUGAGCUAACCGGUACUAAUGAACCGUGAGGCUUAACCUUACAACGCCGAAG
rnacentral:rRNA from 1 species